GGAUUAGAUACCCUGGUAGUCCACGCUGUAAACGAUGUGCACUAGGUGUUGGGCCGCUGAAGGUUCAGUGCCGUAGCUAACGCGUUAAGUGCACCGCCUGGGGAGUAUGCUCGCAAGGGUGAAACUCAAAGGAAUUGACGGGGGCCCGCACAAGCGGUGGAGCAUGUGGUUUAAUUCGACGAUACGCGAGGAACCUUACCAGGGUUUGACAUAUGCCGGGAUGCGGAUGAGAGUUCGCAGCCCUUCGGGGCCGGUAUACAGGUGCUGCAUGGCCGUCGUCAGCUCGUGCUG
rnacentral:rRNA from 1 species